UUUCAAAAAGUACUUGCGCGCCCCGGAUCAUAUCCGUAUAGUUCGCGCCUCUUCCGGAGUGAAGGGUCAGCCAAAAGGACGAGGCGCUGCUUGAAAAACUUUUUGAAAAUUAAGGGUUUACAAGCAAAAGUUAAAGUGUAUAAUGCGCAGCUCCUGACGGAUGAGGAGCGAAUCACGAAGUCCGCGAAGCGGUGUUUGGGUUCGGCGUUUUGAGAAGGUUUUUGACGGCUCUUCGGAGCCGACAAAAAAGUUUCAAAAAACGCUUGCUAAAACGGAUUUGAUGCGUAUAAUUCGCAUCCCACGGUUGAGGCGCUGCCCUCGCCGAGAGUUCUUUAAAAGUGAGAUCAAGCAAUGCGUGUGGGCGCUUGCGAGGCAAUCGGCGACACAAGAUUGUCAGACGCAAGUGACUCAUCAAUUCAUCAGUAAUGAUGUUUUAAGGUUAACGAGCGUCUGAGCACGAUUUAAGAUUCUUGAGGUAUUCAGAUAGUUGUUUGCAGUUGUCUGAAAUAAGAAUCGCACUCUUUAAACUGAAGAGUUUGAUCAUGGCUCAGAUUGAACGCUGGCGGCAGGCCUAACACAUGCAAGUCGAGCGAGAAAGCCCUUCGGGGUGAGUACAGCGGCGGACGGGUGAGUAACGCGUGGGAAUCUGCCCAGUAGUGGGGGACAACAGCCGGAAACGGCUGCUAAUACCGCAUACGCCCUACGGGGGAAAGCAGGGGAUCUUCGGACCUUGUGCUAUUGGAUGAGCCCGCGUCAGAUUAGCUUGUUGGUGGGGUAAUGGCCUACCAAGGCGACGAUCUGUAGCUGGUCUGAGAGGAUGAUCAGCCACAUCGGGACUGAGACACGGCCCGAACUCCUACGGGAGGCAGCAGUGGGGAAUAUUGGACAAUGGGGGCAACCCUGAUCCAGCCAUGCCGCGUGUGUGAAGAAGGCCUUCGGGUUGUAAAGCACUUUCAGCGAGGAGGAAAGCCUGAUGGCUAAUACCCAUCGGGGGUGACGUUACUCGCAGAAGAAGCACCGGCUAACUCCGUGCCAGCAGCCGCGGUAAUACGGAGGGUGCAAGCGUUAAUCGGAAUUACUGGGCGUAAAGCGCACGUAGGCGGCGAGUUAAGCUAGCUGUGAAAGCCCCGGGCUCAACCUGGGAACUGCAGUUAGAACUGGCUAGCUAGAGUACGGUAGAGGAGUGUGGAAUUUCCUGUGUAGCGGUGAAAUGCGUAGAUAUAGGAAGGAACAUCAGUGGCGAAGGCGACACUCUGGACUGAUACUGACGCUGAGGUGCGAAAGCGUGGGGAGCAAACAGGAUUAGAUACCCUGGUAGUCCACGCCGUAAACGAUGUCUACUAGCCGUUGGGAGCCUUGAGCUCUUAGUGGCGCAGCUAACGCACUAAGUAGACCGCCUGGGGAGUACGGCCGCAAGGUUAAAACUCAAAUGAAUUGACGGGGGCCCGCACAAGCGGUGGAGCAUGUGGUUUAAUUCGACGCAACGCGAAGAACCUUACCAGGCCUUGACAUCCUUGGAACUUAGCAGAGAUGCUUUGGUGCCUUCGGGAGCCAAGUGACAGGUGCUGCAUGGCUGUCGUCAGCUCGUGUCGUGAGAUGUUGGGUUAAGUCCCGUAACGAGCGCAACCCUUGUCCUUAGUUGCCAGCACGUAAUGGUGGGAACUCUAAGGAGACUGCCGGUGACAAACCGGAGGAAGGUGGGGACGACGUCAAGUCAUCAUGGCCCUUACGGCCUGGGCUACACACGUGCUACAAUGGGCGGUACAAAGGGUUGCCAAUCCGCGAGGUGGAGCUAAUCCCGAAAAACCGUUCGUAGUCCGGAUUGGAGUCUGCAACUCGACUCCAUGAAGUCGGAAUCGCUAGUAAUCGUGAAUCAGAAUGUCACGGUGAAUACGUUCCCGGGCCUUGUACACACCGCCCGUCACACCAUGGGAGUGGGUUGCACCAGAAGUGGCUAGUCUAACCUCGGAGGACGGUCACCACGGUGUGAUUCAUGACUGGGGUGAAGUCGUAACAAGGUAGCCCUAGGGGAACCUGGGGCUGGAUCACCUCCUUA
rnacentral:rRNA from 1 species